rnacentral:lncRNA from 1 species
CCAACCUUCAAAUAAGUACCACAUAAUGUAUGAGUUGAAUGAAUGUGCCAAUCAAAUGACUCAAGACUCACAAAUCAGGGAUCAAACCAAUGCAAAAUAGGAAAAGGCUCACACUACAAAGAAGACCCCAAACCAAGUCAAAGAAUGGACCAAGAGCAAACCCUAAAAUUGGGUCAAAACCCUAAUACAAAGACAAGAUUCAAAACCUAACCAAAUGAC